ensembl:lncRNA
AGGUCGGAAACAGUUAGGAAGGUCAGAAAACAAUUUAAUUAAUAGAUGAGGGGAGAGGAGGAGAAAAAAGAACUACAACCAGACAAAGCUCCUAGAAGACUGAAAUGGAUGAUGGUUGCAGCAUGCAAAAAGAAAAUGAUAUCUGUUGACUACAGCAUAUGCUUUCUCACAGAUUACCUUGUGGGAGUAGCUGGACCAAACUCUAUUGGUAUUUCAAGUUUGAAAUCCCUGUUUGACCAGACUAACAUUUCAGAUGAGGUAAUAGAUGGCCUAAUCUAUUUGCAGUGUGAGAAUUUCCCUCACAUUUAUCCAAUACCAAGCCAAAUCACUGGAAAAAUUUUGGAUGGGUCCACAAGAGCACAAAGUGCAUUCUUUUUGAAGAAAAACAUCUUUCAGAUGUAUGAGAAAUUGAUUGGAGCCUGUCUGGAAAACGGCAGCCACUGGACCUUGUUUUUUUGUGACAUACCCAAGAGGACCAUAGUCUAUAUGAAUUCAUUUGGCGAGUCGGAGGUCAGAAAAAGUGCGGUGUUGAAAAACUGGAGCUCAUUUGCUUCAGCAAGAGGCUGCGCUGGAGAGUGGACCUUGUCACAUGUGAGCCACCCACAUCAACAGGAUGGGAACUCAUGUGGAGUGCAUGUCAUAAUGUUUGCCCAAUCUCUCAUUGACGGUAAAACACAAGUGGAGGAGUACAACACUGAAAUCACAAAGCUCAGGUCCCGACUUUGCCACUACUUAUUUUCCUCAAUAGAUCGAACUAGGAAGUGCAGUCAGUGCUGGUGUGUGAUUGCAGCCAAAGACCGGGUGCAGUGCCAGAAAUGUGGUGCAUACAAGCACAUGCGUUGUUCAAAGUCUGUUUGUGGCAUCUGUAUCUUCUGUGAGAGGCCGUAAAGCCAAACUGCCCGCAAUGAUUCUUGACAGGCCUAAGAAGGCCAAAACUAAAGUAACAGUGUUUAGUGUUCUGAGUGAAGAGGAGGCUGGGGAGCUAGCCCUCGGGUUUGCCGGAAGAUUGGCCUGCGAUGUCACAACAGACAUGGUCUGUAAAGGCAUCGACCAUUCAAGUGCUGAUAUGACAAAACAGACUCUUCUCAAAAUCCAACACAAUCUUAAACAUGAGCUGACUGAUUCCUCAACCUUCAGUUUGCUGACACACACCUUUGGCCCCGCUGCACUGGAUUCUGUCAUUUCAUUCCUGUGUGAAAAACUUGAUCUUGUUUCUUAAAUAAUGAAACCUUUUGUGACUUUUGUUUGUUCUGUAAAUCAGAAUCUUGAAAAUUGUUCAUUGUUGUUCUAAGUUUGUGUUAACUAUUUGGCAAAAAUGAUUGGUUCCUAAUCCAAACAGCAUAAUGACUGUUCUAACACAUAUCUUAAAAAUGCUACAAAGAAAGAAAAUUAUCACAUAUGUUUCAAUAUGAAUGUAAUUGUGUCACACUCGGUUUGUAGUAGCUUUCCUGUUUUAUUUUGAGUUUUGGUAUGUUUACACUGUUAUUUUUAUUUCCCGUGUGUUCGUCUUCCCUUAUUAGUUUUACUGUAUUUAAUUAGUCUGAUUUAAUAACUUAUAAUUAUUUACUUUCCAGUGUGUGUAUAUGCUCCUCGUUUGGAUUAUUGUUUGUUUGAGUUCUGCCUGUCUUUUCUAUUAAAGAUUUGGACUUUUGGACUAUUAGUGGACCUCGUAGGUUUUUAUUCUGUUCAAUUGGUAAUUGACUGGGUUUAAUUUAGUGGCCUGGAAAACAGGCCGGAGGGGUCUGGUCAUUUUAACCCCCUAAG